rnacentral:rRNA from 1 species
UACGUAGGGUGCGAGCGUUGUCCGGAAUUAUUGGGCGUAAAGGGCUCGUAGGCGGUUUGUCGCGUCGGGAGUGAAAUCCACUGGCUUAACUGGUGGCUUGCUUUCGAUGCGGGCAGACUGGAGGUAUGCAGGGGAGAACGGAAUUCCUGGUGUAGCGGUGAAAUGCGCAGAUAUCAGGAGGAACACCGGUGGCGAAGGCGGCAUCCUGGACCGGCAUUGACGCUGAGGAGCGAAAGCCAGGGGAGCAAACGGG